CCCUUAGAUGUUCUGGGCUGCACGCGCGCUACACUGAAGCGUUCAACGAGUAUUCACCUUGCCCGGGAGGGUUGGGUAAUCUUUUGAAAACGCUUCGUGAUGGGGAUAGAUUAUUGCAAUUAUUAAUCUUCAACGAGGAAUUCCUAGUAAGCGCGAGUCAUCAGCUCGUGCUGAUUACGUCCCUGCCCUUUGUACACACCGCCCGUCGCUCCUACCGGUUGAGUGAUCCGGUGAAUAAUUCGGACUGCAGCACUGCUUGGUCUCCAGGCUUUGCAGCGGAAAGUUUAGUGAACCUUAUCACUUAGAGGAAGGAGAANUCGUANCA
rnacentral:rRNA from 1 species